CCUCCUGCAGAAACUCUUCAGUUUGAAGGAAUAAGUAUGCAUGCCACAAUGGCCUGCGUUGCUCAAUAUGCCACUGCUGUCUUUUAUGUGAUAUUGUUCAUAAAGGGCAAUAAACGGUAUGCAGUUGUGCCUCCCCAAUGAAUAAUGUCAUCUGGACUCGUUUGUCAUUGUGUCAGAUUGAACCCCUUUUGCUGUCCAUUGACCUCAUUUGUCUACACACAUCUCUAAACUUUAAGUUUACUUUCUGAGCUUAAAUUCAAGACGUGUAGAUUUUUUUUCUUUUUUUCUCAUCCUUCAUAACUACACUCCUAGAAAAAAAGGGUUCCAAAGGGGUUCUUUAGAGAAGGAUAGGCUUCUACCAAGAUCCAUUUUCAUCUGAAGAACCCUUUCUGGAAGACAUGGGUACUUUGUAAGGCAAAGGAUUCAACCUAGAACCUUUCUCAUCCUAAGAACUGUUUUUGGAAGAAAGGGUUCUUUGAUGAUUCUUUGGAUGGCAAGAAAGAUUCUUUGGAAGGUAAGAAGGGUUCUACAUAGGACACUUCAGAAUCGGAAUAAGCUUUUGUAUUGUAUUUUUUUCCUUUAUUUUAAAUAGUGCCUGAGUAUUACUGUUUACCCCAGUGUUUAAACUUUAACCCUCUAGAGUUUAAAAGGACAGGUGUGAGAUUAUUUAAACUGUACCUACACGGGAAUAUUUGUACAUAGCAAAUUGGCCAGUUUUACCUAGUUGACUUUUCAGUGAAAUAUUUGUAGAGUUGAUUCAGGAGUUAAAUGAAAUGAACUCUGUAAAGAGUUAAAUUUACACUCAGUGGUGUAAAAUAACCCAAGUGUUGGUGUUAACCAAAGGUGAGUGUGAUCAGAAGUGUCAUGUCCAUAGGGGGUACAGGGGCAUGUGCCCCAUCAGAUUUGUCAUGUGUCAAUCAAGAUCGAGUAACUCGCUUGUCUGUCUUAGCUGGCAUGCCUGCUGGCAAGGUUGGUAGACUUUUUUUAAAAGUAAGCAAUAACUAAAUGAACUGAAUAAGACUCACAUUCCUUUCAAUCUUUUACCCAGAUUUGAGCAGAGACGUACAGAAGCAUAUUUAGUUUCUUUUUAAAAAAACAGUCAGGACACAGACAGCUCAAGAGGUAUGCUUAGCUAUGCAGAACUAUUGUUUCAGGUGUUUAAAAAAUUCAAAACAAUUCUCCAACUUAUUGUCGGGGGGCCUAGCCCCCUUCGGAACCAUCCCCCCCCCCCCCAGCCAUCCUCACGUACUUUGCGCCCCUCAGAUUUUUGGGGUGCAUAAUGGCCCUGAGCGUGAUUGUGUCAUUUUGACUCGGUGUAGAGUAAAACACUCAAAACCACAACCAAUGAAUGUGUUUUUGCAUAUACAUUGAUUGAUUGAUUGAUUGAUUGAUUGAUUGAUCUUAUUCUACACAAAGAUAAACAACAUACAUUUUUCUCAACUAAUCAAAUUUGUUAGUAGUUGGACUUAUUCAACCCGUUACUGAGACGGUUGUUCCAGAUGGUUUAGAUUGAUAAAUGAGACUAUCUGCUGUGCCUUGGCAGUCUUUCUGAAUCCAGGUUGUGGGUGAUUAAUAAGCCCCCCAUGGAGGCACUUGCAUUGAACACACCUACCAACUGUUUGUGAGUGCUCUGUGUCCAGGUUGGUCUGUGCCCUGUUUGCUUCCUCUGUCUUCUAGCCUUUAAUGUCAAAUUGCUCCUGUUCCAACAAAGGCCUAUGGACAAACCUUUCACCACUCCUGCUCCCUCUCCAUCCCUUUCUGCCUUCAUCCCUCUACACUUAUCCUUCUCACAGAUCCAGGAACCUUUCAUCACCACAUCAGAUAAGGCAAUGAGGAAGGACCAAAUCUCUAGACCUAUGCUCGGAGCGAGCAGGCUACUGGGGAGUACCAUCACUGACCUCCGGGUCUUGUGCUUCCAGGUGUCUGCUCGAUCCUCAGGUUGUCCUUCCUUCCAUCUGCAGAUCCAACUCUAGUCCUGUCCCCAGCAUCAGACCCAGUUCCAGUAUCAGACCCAGUCACAGCACCAGAACACCGGAAGAGGCACAGAGGAGGGUCCAACACCAGACCUUCACCCGGAGCAAGCGGACCACAGGGGAGUGCAACAUUUGACCUCCACGUCUUCCUCCCUUCUGUAGAUCCAGCACCAGUCCACCACCAGACCACCAGACGAGGUGUGAAAGAGGGACCAAAAAUCACAUCUUCACCCGGAGCUAGCAGGUUGGUGGACUGGUGCUGGAUCCAACACUUGGCCUCCAGUCCCAGCACAAUUUCCAGUCCAGGUUCCAACAGAAGUACCAACCCAGGUUUUUCCGGUCCAAGCCACAACACCAGCACCAAUCCUGAACACAGCACCAAAUUCCUUUUCCUUUCAGCCACUGCCAGCCCAGCCCAGCCCAGACCCCACCCCUCCCCCAACACAAAGAAACAUUGUGGACUAACUAACUAACUGACUGAUUGACUGAUGGAAUGGACUGAAUGGACUGACAGAUUGUUCUGAUUAUUUUUGAUUAGUUGAUUGCCUUUACUUUGCUUUUGUUUGAUUGGAUAACCAUUUGUUUUAACUCAUUUGAAUUGAUUACUUAUUGAAUUGUUUAUUAUUCGGAAUUUAAACUUAAUGAUGGAUUGAAUUUGAACUUGUUGAACAUUUUAAACUGUAACGAAUUUUGGAAAAAACAAAUAAAAUAGAAUUACACAGCAGAAUAGAA